rnacentral:rRNA from 1 species
CCUACGGGAGGCAGCAGUGGGGAAUCUUGCACAAUGGGCGAAAGCCUGAUGCAGCAACGCCGCGUGAGUGAAGAAGGUCUUUGGAUUGUAAAGCUCUUUCGGUUGGGAAGAAGGGGCGCUGCAUUAAUACUGCAGUGUUCUGACGGUACUAAAAGAAGAAGCACCUGCUAACUACGUGCCAGCAGCAGCGGUAAUACGUAGGGUGCAAGCGUUGUUCGGAGUGACUGGGCGUAAAGAGCGCGUAGGCGGGUUUGCAUGUCGAUUGUGAAAACCCUGGGCUUAACCUGGGACGUGCAGUCGAAACUGCAGAUCUUGAAUGCCUGAGAGGCUAGUGGAAUUCUUGGUGUAGGAGUGAAAUCCGUAGAUAUCAAGAGGAACACCGGAGGCGAAGGCGGCUAGCUGGUGGUGCAUUGACGCUGAAGCGCGAAAGCGUGGGGAGCAAACAGGAUUAGAUACCCUGGUAGUC